rnacentral:rRNA from 1 species
AUUGAACGCUGGCGGCAGGCCUAACACAUGCAAGUCGAACGAGUGGCGGACGGGUGAGUAAUGUCUGGUAAACUGCCUGCUGGAGGGGGAUAACUACUGGAAACGGUAGCUAAUACCGCAUACCAUCAGAUGUGCCCAGAUGGGAUUAGCUAGUAGGUGGGGGAACGGCUCACCUAGGCGACGAUCCCUAGCUGGUCUGUGAGGAAGACCAGCGCAACUGGAAUGGAGACACGGGCCAGACUCCUACGGGAGGCAGCAGUGGGGAAUAUUGCACAAUGGGCGCAAGCCUGAUGCAGCCAUGCCGCGUGUAUGAAGAAGGCCUUCGGGUUGUAAAGUACUUUCAGCGGGGAGGCGUUACCCGCAGAAGAAGCACCGGCUAACUCCGUGCCAGCAGCCGCGGUAAUAC